ensembl:lncRNA
UGUGUGUGUGUGGAGGGAGGGGAGGGGGAGAGACGGGGGGGGGGGGGCAUAUAUUUGAAAAUGAUGCUCGACGCAUCGGUGUUGACAAACCGAGUCAUGUGACCGCGGCGGAAGAUGGCGCAGCUUACGGCACGUUGCGGGUUCGACGGCUCGGACCGCGGAACGACGUCGCCACCGAUUACCGACUAAUUACCGACCGACGGAGCGCGUUCAAGCCCGCGCAGCAGCCGGGCGCGCGCGCGCUGGAAAAUAACGAUUCAAUUUCAAAUGAACCAGAUUUGAGGAGAAAAAAAAGAAACAUUUCCGUUUCGUUUAAAGCGCGCCUGCAGUAACAGCUGUUUGUAUAGAUUUAUUGUGCAGGAGUGCAGAAAAACAGCUCGCCGCUUGGGUGCGUGCGUGCGUGCGUGCGUGGCUCCGUCCGUGCCCGCUUGCCUGCCUGCUCGGCGCGCGCGCGUGUGCGUUUCGUUAGGUGGACACGGAGACUGCAUCAGACCGGAGACACACGCCGGGGACAUAACAGAGCGGAGACAUCGAGGCUCCGAUGGUCCUUCCUUCCUCCGGACCUCCCCCCCUCCCUCCCUCCCUCCCUCCCACUGCACGCACGCACACACCCGGUGGAGACAUGUAGUCCCAUGUAGGAGCAGCGAGGAGAAUCUGUAGCCUUCAGCUCCCAUCCUUUUUUUCCCCCAGCAGCAUUGAUCUCACCAUAUCGACAUAAUGUGCGCGCCUCCCCGGGGGCAGAAAUAACCAAACAUGUGGAUACCGACCGAAGAGGAGAAGAUCGCAGUUGUGAUCUGCAACUUCCGGUCAGCAAUAGGCCAGGCGCUGGUGUUGGAGAUCGGGGAAACUGUUCAGAUUUUGGAGAAGAGUGAAGGUUGGUACAGGGGCUUUUCCAGCAAGAAGCCCUCUAUCAAGGGUAUUUUCCCAGUCAGCUG